GACGAACGCUGGCGGCGUGCUUAACACAUGCAAGUCGAACGGAAAGGCCCUGCUUUUGUGGGGUGCUCGAGUGGCGAACGGGUGAGUAACACGUGAGUAACCUGCCCUUGACUUUGGGAUAACUUCAGGAAACUGGGGCUAAUACCGGAUAGGAGCUCCUGCUGCAUGGUGGGGGUUGGAAAGUUUCGGCGGUUGGGGAUGGACUCGCGGCUUAUCAGCUUGUUGGUGGGGUAGUGGCUUACCAAGGCUUUGACGGGUAGCCGGCCUGAGAGGGUGACCGGCCACAUUGGGCCUGGGCUACGGCCCAGCCUCCUCCGGGAGGCAGCAGUGGGGAAUAUUGCACAAUGGGCGGAAGCCUGAUGCAGCACCGCCGCGUGCGGGAUGACGGCCUUCGGUUUGUAAACCGCUUUCGCCUGUGACGAAGCGUGAGUGACGGUAAUGGGUAAAGAAGCACCGGCUAACUACGUG
rnacentral:rRNA from 1 species